CAUACCUCCACGGUUUUACCUCUAGAUCGCGUUUCUGCGGAGCUCGGGCGAAGCCCUGCUGAGAUUAGAUCACCACCAACCUCCGGAGCACCGUCACGCUGCCGGAGAACGCAUCUACCUCUCUGUCUCUCUUGCUGGAUCAAGAAGGCCGAGAUCAUCGUCGAGCUGUACGUGUGCUGAACGCGGAGGUGCAGUCCGUUCGGCACUAGAUCGGAGCGGAUCGUGGGACGGAUCGCGGGACGAUUCGUGAGACGGUUCGCGGGGCGGAUCGAGGGACGUGAGGACGUUCCACUACAUCAACCGCGUUUCUUAACGCUUCUGCUAUGCGAUCUACAAGGGUACGUAGAUCGGAAAUCCCCUCUCGUAGAUGGACAUCACCAUGAUAGGUCUUCGUGCGCGUAGGAAAUUUUUUGUUUCCCAUGCUACGUUCCCCAACAGUGUGCAAGGUAUUUCUCUAUUUGCACCUUGGAAGCUAGCCGGUUCAAAGAAAGCAGAGAUCUUGGUUUUCUGAACCCUUUCUUCAGGUAAAAG
rnacentral:lncRNA from 1 species